GGUCUGCCCCCGGGCAGGCCUAACCUCCCACCCGUGAAUACCUGACCAACGUUGCUUCGGCGGUGCGCCCCCCCCCCCCGGGGGUAGCCGCCGGAGACCACACCGAACCUCCUGUCUUUAGUGUUGUCUGAGCUUGAUAGCAAACCUAUUAAAACUUUCAACAAUGGAUCUCUUGGUUCCGGCAUCGAUGAAGAACGCAGCGAACUGCGAUAAGUAAUGUGAAUUGCAGAAUUCAGUGAAUCAUCGAGUCUUUGAACGCACAUUGCGCCCCCUGGCAUUCCGGGGGGCAUGCCUGUCCGAGCGUCAUUGCUGCCCUUCAAGCCCGGCUUGUGUGUUGGGUCGUCGUCCCCCCCGGGGGACGGGCCCGAAAGGCAGCGGCGGCACCGCGUCCGGUCCUCGAGCGUAUGGGGCUUUGUCACCCGCUCGAUUAGGGCCGGCCGGGCGCCAGCCGGCGUCUCCAACCUUCUAUUUUACCAGGUUGACCUCGGAUCAGGUAGGGAUACCCGCAGGGCNUNNNNU
rnacentral:rRNA from 1 species